rfam:Dipodomys ordii contig_26026, whole genome shotgun sequence.
GGUGGCUCAGUGAUAGAGCUCUUGUCUUGCACGCAUGAGUCCCUGGGUUCGAUUCCUCAGCACCA